UCGAGUUAGGGUUGUCCCAACAGCCCAACCUCCCAACCCUGUGUCUACUGUACCUUGUCGUUGCUUCGGCGGACCGGUUAACCACCUGGUCUUGACCGCCGGGGACCCGUGCCCUGGAGAGCGUCCGCCGAUGGCCCAACCACAAAAACUCUUAUACCGAACAUUGUCGUCUGAAUGCCUUUGAUUUAUCAAUCAAAAAAAC
rnacentral:misc_RNA from 1 species